AUGAAACACUCCUACGGGAGGCAGCAGUGGGGAAUUUUGGACAAUGGGCGCAAGCCUGAUCCAGCAAUGCCGCGUGCAGGAAGAAGGCCUUCGGGUUGUAAACUGCUUUUGUCAGGGAAGAAAUCCUCUGGGUUAAUACCUCGGGGGGAUGACGGUACCUGAAGAAUAAGCACCGGCUAACUACGUGCCAGCAGCCGCGGUAAUACGUAGGGUGUGAGCGUUAAUCGGAAUUACUGGGCGUAAAGCGUGCGCAGGCGGCUUUGCAAGACAGAUGUGAAAUCCCCGGGCUCAACCUGGGAACUGCAUUUGUGACUGCAAGGCUAGAGUACGGUAGAGGGGGAUGGAAUUCCGCGUGUAGCAGUGAAAUGCGUAGAUAUGCGGAGGAACACCAAUGGCGAAGGCAAUCCCCUGGACCUGUACUGACGCUCAUGCACGAAAGCGUGGGGAGCAACCAGGAUUAGAAACCCGAGUAGUCCGAAGUUC
rnacentral:rRNA from 1 species